rnacentral:tRNA from 1 species
GGCUAGGUGGCAGAAUGGCGGAUGCGCAGGACUGCAAAUCCUUACAUACCGGUUCGAUUCCGGUCCUAGCCU